ensembl:lincRNA
AUGGCCGGACACAUCUUGGCGGGGAGGUGGACGGCCAGGAGAGGCUCACUGCAGCCUCCCGUGAGGGCUGAACGGCUCUUCAGGGACCAGACCCCAAGGCGUGUCAAAGGCUCUGAGGCUCUCACACUGCCACCUGCCUUGGUCCUCACUACAGCGAGGGGAGGUGGCCAGCACAAGCAGUUGUCUUUUUUUUUUUGGAGGAGGGGAGCAGGUUGUCCCUUGGGGGAUGGCCAGCCAGGCCUCCUGACCCCGCCUGGCCUCUUUGGUCUCAUAUCAGGCCCCAGACUUCAUUCGGCACAGACGUUUAGGUAUUGGUCUUCCCAGAAGGCACCACCAACUGGGCUUUCUCCUUUGUGGGGAAGGCAGGUGGAGGGCAGCGUGAGGACCAUGUCAUCUCUCCGUCACUGUCCUCUUGGGGCCCUGCUCAGGGCCAGGCCCACUGAGUGCUGGGUGAGUGUGGGGGAUGAGCAGUGUGAACCAUCUCAGCUGGAACUUUCCCGAACAGAUGCAGCUUCCGGAUCAGAGAUCUGUUUCAUCCCCAAGGGCUCAGGAUGGAUGGGGAAGCAGGGAAGGUCUGCACAUGGGGCUCCGCUGCGAGAGCUCUACAAGGCCGCAGGUGUUCUAGCCCCACACUGCCCCAGAGUCUCAUCUCCAUCCCCCUGGCCUGGGAGCGCCCCACCCCUGGGCGAAGCUCCCCCAGCCACCAGGCCACCUAUGGCCUUCCUGUCGCUGUGCCCGCGGCUGCUCUCUGCCCUCGUCUCACCCCCAUCCCAGCAGCAACCUCUCUUCUUGAAUCCCCUCCUCCCCACACACCAAGCCUCUCGGCCUCUCCUGCCCGGCCACCUCUCAGGUCAGCCUCUGCCCCACUCCCUGUCCCUGCCCCGUCCUUUCCGUGCAGGUCUCCUCCCACAUGCCCUGAGGGCCCUUUCAUCACAAGCCCUCUCAUCAGCGCCCAUAGCUUUUAUCCUCACCUGCAGACCAGAGGCCCAGCCCCAUCCGUGGACAACAGAUCUAGUGCAGCCCCUCACUGAACAGCCCUCCUCAGUGUCUCAUGAGCAAGGGUCCCGAGCUGGAUAUCUCACCUCCUCCCUAGAAAGCUGUGUGUCUCUUCUUCUCCCCACCUUUGUUGGUGGCAACAUGAUUCACCCCAACUCUCAAGCAGGAAACCAGGGAAGCCUCUCCAUCGGAGUGAAUCUUCUUGGCUUCAGAGCACAGGCCUGAUGACGUCAUUGCCCCCACUGUGCUGGCGCCUGUCACCCUCCCCUCACACAGCCCACCUGGGGACACCACCAGGCGGGGGGAGCUCCUCCUUAGGAACACGUCCCUCGGCCUGGAAGACACAUCCCCUCAGCAGAGCCAGUGAACUCAAACGCCUCCUUGCACACAAAGCCGGAAGGCUUUCAGGGCCCUACCCAACAUGGACCCCUCCCUCCCAGCUGAAACCCAACUCUUCUGUGACCCCUAAACCACACUGAGCGGUAAUUCACCUGCUGACCAAUCUGCUUCUCUAUUAGAGCAGGACUUUGUGGAAUGAAAUAAAGGAUCAUGUUUCACUGAUGCUAAGACGCCAUCAAUUUUAAGUUUCUCCAUUAACUUAAGCACCACCACGGAAAAAGCACUGCCAACUUAACCAUGACACUCAAUGUGUAGAGGACACAGCCUGGUGCAGAGAUGUUAAAAUGAAAAAAACAUGUGUCUUAUAAUGAUGAAAGACUUCCCUGGUGGCUCAGAUGGUUAAAAAAUCUGCCUGCAAUGCGGGAGAUCUGGGUUCGAUCCCAGGGUCAGGAGGAUUCUCUGGAGGAGGGCAUGACAACCCACUCCAGUGUUCUUGCCUGGAGAACCCCAUGGACAGAGGAGCCUCGUGGGCUACAGUCCACAGGGUCGCAGAGAGUCUGACGUGCCUGAGCGACUGAGCACACGUAAUGAGGAACUGCGUCUUCACAGCCGUGGCCACGGGCAGAGGGCUGGUCUAACCAUCCUCGACGAGCAUUGCAAAGGGGACUUUGUUGAUCUGGGGCGGAAAACUAGCAAACUGAGGCGGGGUGGGGCGACGGCGCGGGGCACUGGGAGGCAGGCCCGGCCGCGGCGGCCGCGCCCGACCCGUGACGGNNNNNNNNNNNNNNNNNNNNNNNNNNNNNNNNNNNNNNNNNNNNNNNNNNNNNNNNNNNNNNNNNNNNNNNNNNNNNNNNNNNNNNNNNNNNNNNNNNNNUGGGGGGCGCGGGGCCCCCCCCGGGGCCGUGUGUUUUCCCUCCCCCCCCAACCCCCGGGGCGGUGGCUGGGGCGGCCCGCCGGUGCUGGAAGACCUUCUUGAGCAGCCAGCGCACCAGGCGCAGCUUCUGCAGGCUGUAGCGGAUCACGUUCCAGGAGAGGCUGCAGGCCAGGUCCAGGCGGGAGGUGGGCAGGGCCCGGCCCAGCACCGACAGGCAGGUUUGCAGGUUGGCCGCGGCAGCCGCAAAGUCCCCCUGAUGGGAAGCAAGAAUAUGUAACAUUCGCCAGCCUUGGGGCAGCCUUUUAGUUUUGUUUUAGUGAAAACUCUUACUUUCUCUUCAG